rnacentral:rRNA from 1 species
GCUGGCGGCGUGCCUAAUACAUGCAAGUCGAGCGAACAGAUAAGGAGCUUGCUCCUUUGACGUUAGCGGCGGACGGGUGAGUAACACGUGGGUAACCUACCUAUAAGACUGGGAUAACUUCGGGAAACCGGAGCUAAUACCGGAUAACAUUUGGAACCGCAUGGUUCUAAAGUGAAAGAUGGUUUUGCUAUCACUUAUAGAUGGACCCGCGCCGUAUUAGCUAGUUGGUAAGGUAACGGCUUACCAAGGCGACGAUACGUAGCCGACCUGAGAGGGUGAUCGGCCACACUGGAACUGAGACACGGUCCAGACUCCUACGGGAGGCAGCAGUAGGGAAUCUUCCGCAAUGGGCGANNNNNNNACGGNGCAACGCCCCGUGAGUGAUGAAGGGUUUCGGCUCGUAAAACUCUGUUAUUAGGGAAGAACAAACGUGUAAGUAAC